rnacentral:tRNA from 1 species
GAUGUACCUCAGUUGGUAGAGUGCUUGCCUAGCAUGCAUGGAGCCCUGGGUUCAAUCCCCAGAUCA